UACGGAGGGUGCGAGCGUUGUCCGGAAUUACUGGGCGUAAAGCGCACGUAGGCGGAUAUUUAAGUCAGGGGUGAAAUCCCAGAGCUCAACUCCGGAACUGCCAUUGAAACUGUUGGACUUGAGUACGAGAGAGGUGAGUGGAAUUCCCAGUGUAGAGGUGAAAUUCGUAGAUAUUGGGAAGAACACCGGUGGCGAAGGCGGCUCACUGGCUCGUAACUGACGCUCAGGCGCGACAGCGUGGGGAUCGAAACAGG
rnacentral:rRNA from 1 species